CGGAGGCUCAGGAGCAUCGAGGUCAGGUUGCGGGUGGCCGCCGCUUUUUCCAGACGUCCGGGGAGGAGGUUCCACCUGCAUCCGGAGCAGGCUUUCCUCACCAACCGGGCCGGAGAGCCGAGCGGAGCGCAGGGGACCGAGUUGGAAGAGGGACAGACGCGAGAUACUCUACAAAAUGGUUGGCCUUUGAACAAGAGUUCACCUUCUUCCCAGGCGGCCAGCGUCUUGAAUGAAGCUCAUAUUCUUUUCCAAUCAAAACUCAUCUCUUGGGGCGCCUGGGUGUCUCUGUUGGUUGAGCAUCAGCCUUUGGCUCAGGUCAUGAUCCCAGGGUCCUGGGAUCGAGUCCUGCAUCAGAUUCCCUGCUCAGCAGGGAGCCUGCUUCUCCCUCUCCUGCUCCCCCUGCUUGUGCUCUGUCAGAUGGAUAAAUAAAAUCUUGAAAAAAAAAAAACUACUCAUCUCUUGAGUAUUGACUUUUUGAGCCACAGGCAGCCAAACUUGGGUUUUAG
rnacentral:lncRNA from 1 species